rnacentral:lncRNA from 1 species
GAAAGUCUCCCCCAUGAACCAAAGGUCAGGGGUUCGAACUUGUGGACUGCACCAUGACCAUUUUUUUAUUUCCAUGUUAUUUUACUUAUUUUAUUUUUUAUUAUUUUUAUUUUCUCUUUUGAUUUAUUUUUUUAACCCCUUAAUUUUUAUUAUUUUGGAAAAAUGUUGAACAUCAACCCCCCUUAUUUUUGCCUCUAGAAUUUAAUGGUGACAUUAUUUAUUUC